rnacentral:rRNA from 1 species
GACGAACGCUGGCGGCGUGCUUAACACAUGCAAGUCGAACGGAAAGGCCCUGCUUUUGUGGGGUGCUCGAGUGGCGAACGGGUGAGUAACACGUGAGUAACCUGCCCUUGACUUUGGGAUAACUUCAGGAAACUGGGGCUAAUACCGGAUAGGAGCUCCUGCUGCAUGGUGGGGGCUGGAAAGUUUCGGCGGUUGGGGAUGGACUCGCGGCUUAUCAGCUUGUUGGUGGGGUAGUGGCUUACCAAGGCUUUGACGGGUAGCCGGCCUGAGAGGGUGACCGGCCACAUUGGGACUGAGAUACGGCCCAGACUCCUACGGGAGGCAGCAGUGGGGAAUAUUGCACAAUGGGCGGAAGCCUGAUGCAGCAACGCCGCGUGCGGGAUGACGGCCUUCGGGUUGUAAACCGCUUUCGCCUGUGACGAAGCGUGAGUGACGGUAAUGGGUAAAGAAGUACCGGCUAACUACGUG